rnacentral:tRNA from 2 species
GCCGCUGUGGUGGAAUGGUAGACACUAGGGACUUAAAAUCCCUUGGACAUUAGUCCGUGCUGGUUCGAAUCCAGCCAGCGGCACCA